UACGGGGGGAGCAAGCGUUGUUCGGAUUUACUGGGCGUAAAGGGCGCGUAGGCGGCCACCGCAAGUCAAUUGUGAAAUCUCCGGGCUUAACUCGGAAAGGUCAACUGAUACUGCGGGGCUAGAGUGCAGAAGGGGCAACUGGAAUUCUCGGUGUAGCGGUGAAAUGCGUAGAUAUCGUAAGGAAGACCAGUGGCGAAGGCGGGUCUCUGGACAGUUCCUGACGCUGAGGCACGAAGGCCAGGGGAGCAAACGGG
rnacentral:rRNA from 1 species